ensembl:lncRNA
GAAAAUGAUCAACACCCUAGACCAGGGGUCGGCAACCUGCGGCUCCGGAGCCGCAUGCGGAUCUUUAGUCCUUCUACGGCUCCGCGUGGUUUGGGGAAAUAAAUAAUUUUUUGUAAGUAAUUAGCUAAAGUCUAUUUUAUUUAUGUUAGUUCUUUUUUUAACUCGUAGUUCUAAAUUGGAAGAUUAUUGUGAUAUUGAAAUAUAAAUAUAAAAUUAUAUUCUAUUAGUUUUUGAUCGAUCAAAAUAAGCGUCACACUUGCGGAAGCCGAUAUACCCUUGAAACGCCCGCCAACCCCAGGUAGGCCAAUUAUGGAUCUUCGGAUCCACAUUAUGUCAGCAGCUGUUCUCCAAAAACAAACACGUUCACGCCUCACAGACGACAGCUUACAGUCGUGCGUAAAGAUGAAAGUGACUUCGUACAGCCCCGAUCGUACAGCAGACGCUGUGCGCAGAGGUUCAGGAGCGGAAGUCCCAUUGUAAACAUAUCACGGCAGACCCGACUAUGUUUCCAUGAACACGCUUUUCAGCAUCUUUUUAUUGACCACUUUUCACACACGGUUGCUUUACGCAUACAGCCGGUGUUAAAGCUCGCAGCCCGACACACACCAACACAACAGCAUAGGUGGCACAGACGUUAAGGCGGCGAGGCGUGAUUGCCGGUACCGCUAAGGUGCGUCCGCCUCCCCUGCAGCGGCGCUGCAGUCCACGCCCCGCCACACACAUUAAUCAGGUAAAAUACAUACUUAGGCGGAAUUUUGCAAAGUUCAAAAUGUGUUAAUUACAUAAAUAAAAUGUAAUUUUCUCUGUAGCACUUCAUGCAUUUAAGCAACACACCUUAGUUGUUCACACAAAGCAUAAAGGUAAAAAAAAACCCAAUAUAUACAGUGUUAUGUUCAUUUUAGAUGUCAAAAAGUAUUUGCGGCUCCCAGAGUUUUCUUUUGUGUGGAAAUCGCGUCCAAAUGGCUCUUUGGGUGUUAAAGGUUGCUGACCCCUGCCCUAGACAAACGCUACACAGUGCCGUCCCGCAGCUAUUUUUCUAUUGUUGCACUACCUGCUCUAUACACUUAGUGUCAAGCAACGGUGGAAACGGAAUUUCAAGCAGUACAACAUUUUGCGGCAACGACAAAAUAGAGGGAGAGAAAGGAACAGAGAGGGAGAUUGAGAAUGAGGACAGAACAGAGAUGGAACAAGAGCAGAUAUAUCCUGUAGGGACAUGAGGAGGAAACAGUGGCAAAAGGAGUUAUGUGAGGCUGCUAAAGGCAGUGGAUCCUUCAUCAGACCACAGGCAACAAUAACACAUGUACCAGUUGUUGAACUGCAGAGAUGGACAGGAACAGGAGAGUGAUAGAUGAGAUGAGGAGAUGGAAGGAGGAAGAGAAGCAAAGAUCAGAUACCAUCUCUCCUAUGGACUUUGUAAAUCUGCAGUCUCAGAUCAACACAAUCCUGCCCUUCAGCACUAUCAGCAGCAGGAGCAGCAGCAACCUCUGAAAAGCAGCAUUGUACCCCAUCAGGAAGGAAGCAUCAAUAUCAGAUGAGAAGAUUUAUGUCUUUCUUUUGUGUCCCCCCAACAAGUUGAUUUGUUCACAUUUUUACAUUUUUACAUCUUAAUUUUUAAGUGACAUGUGCAUUUUGAGUUUAUACACUAUGUAUAUAAGGUGACUGUUCCCUUUAGCAGUAUUUUUGUGUGGUGUGUUUUUCUGUCUUAACAAAAGGGGAACAAAGGUGUUUAAGUUCACCUAGAAUGAUUUGUUUUGAUUUUCACAUGAUCUUACUGAGGUGAUUGGAAUUGAAACAUGCAUUCAUUUUUU